rnacentral:rRNA from 1 species
GACGUAGGAGGCGAGCGUUAUCCGGAUUCACUGGGCGUAAAGCGCAUGUAGGCGGAUGUCUAAGUCGUGUGUUAAAGCCCCUGGCUCAACUGGGGGAGGUCAUGCGAGACUGGAUGACUUGAGGGUAACAGAGGCACGUGGAACUCCCGGUGUAGCGGUGAAAUGCGUAGAUAUCUGGAGGGAUACCGGUGGCGAAGGCGGCAUCCUGGACCGACAUUGACGCUGAACGGCGAAAGCUAGGGGAGCAAACGGG